rnacentral:lncRNA from 1 species
AGCCCCCAGUGACUUUCCAAUGAAAUGGAUAGAGAAGGGAAAAGAGACCCUUCGGAAUCAGAUGAGUCCAUGAACUGGCAGCAGUCAGGGCAGUGAUGACAUCACAGAAGGAGGAUGGGCCUUAGACAGACAUCACUCUUUAGAAUCCCUGCAACUUUGAGCAAGUUCGUGAAUCUCACUAAGGCUCAGUUUCCUCCAUAAAAUUAAUCAAUAUCAGGGCCUCUGCAUUGGACAACUCCAGAGGGCACCAUUGGGGUUAUACCUUGUGUUUGCCUAACCUUCAUUGCAGUGGGCAGGUGCAUGCUUUCUACAAUGUCCUAAGGUCUAAAGGGGUAGAGUUCUGUGUGUGGCAUUUUAGGCCUGGAAAGGAUGAGAGUCUACAAAACCAGAGAAAUACUGCAGAGCUCCUAAAGUCCUUGGAAUGUCCUAAGUGCAAAUGGUCAAACCCAGGAGGGAAUGGUAUGAACCUCUGGUUUACAGCCAUUGGUAAGAAGCACACAUGACAACCUGGACUUUCCAUCAACAUUUGAAGCGGGAGCAGUCUUGUGGGAUCAAGCUCUUAACCUGUGGGGUCUGCUACUAACUCUGGUAAGUGUCAGAAUUGAAUUGAAUCAUAGAAAACCCAGUUGGUGUCCAUAGCAAAUUGGUGUGGACCCUACACGUUUGAUCACAGAGGUAUUCUGUGUUGAGUGUGCAUAUAGACAGAAGAAAAGUUUGUUCUUCCCUAUUCAAAGGCAGAGUUAUUUAUCUGUGUUGUUUUGUUUUUAAAGAUUCCCUGGGUGAUCCUAGUGUGUAGCCAAGAUUGAAUAUUAUUGACCUAGAGCAGAGUUGGCAAACUUUUCAUUUAAAGGGCCAGUUAGUAAAUAUUUUAGGCUUUGCAGACCACCUACAUAUUUUGCCACAUAUUCUUUGUUUGUUUAAAAAUGUAAAAAUAAUUCUUAGAUUGCAGGCUGUACAAAAAUAGGCCAUACCCAGAUUUGGCCCACAGGUCACAUUGCUUAUUGAUUCCUGGUCUAGAGACCAUAGCCCUGGAGGUUCCAUGAUCUAAUAUAUUUUUUGGUUUCAUCUAGAAUCCAAUGAACACAUGGACCCAACACUCCUUUGGCCAAGUUGAUGAUUCUCCACCAUUUAUUUGCCUGCCUCACUAUACACUUCUAGCAAGCCACUGCAAGGCUGCAUUGCAGCUAAGAGGAAGCCCUCCUUGAAGGCUGCACAGCAAGGAGUGUUGGCAGAGUAGCUGGGUUUCCACUGGGAGAGCACGAGUCAGCAUCAUGCUGGGCUCAAGCAUGGAUAUGCACUGCUGCUGCCAGAGCAUCAUAAUUUGCAAGCAUUUAUCGAGUACCCUUCAUCUAAUUUUCAUCCUGCGGAAACUAGAAAUUGCUACACUUGCACACAAUAAACUUCUGGCAGUUAGCCUUCUAAACUGGGACACUACCAUUUGGGAGGGAAAAGACCUUUCUGGUGGUUAAAGAUGGGGCUUCCAGUUACUGCAUUUGUUUUAAUACAGUCUAUUCCAUAGAGCCAUCGAUGGAGACUCAUUAUAUAACCUUUCGUGGAAAGCUUCUGACUUCUUUCUCAAUGCACAGGUGGGAUGUAAAGGGACAUCCCCAUCAUAAGGCACUUGCCCCAGGCUAGGAACUUAAUUCUCCCACUGUCGACAUGUGGCUCUUUAGAUUUCAUGCUGUAAGUCUCCAGAGGUUUCUCAGGUCUUGCCCUGCAGAAGCAGAAGUCAUGGGAAGGAGCUGUCGCGUAGUUCUUUUUUUUUGGAGCUUGGGUGCUGAAGAUCAGUUCCUCCAACUUUUUGGUUUUUUAAUGUUUCACUCCAACUGCAAAUUUCACCCCAUUUCUAGUGUACUCUCCUUGAGAGAAGUGGAGUUUCAGAUGGGAGCAACUUCACUUGAAGCCCAUAUUAAAUAUGGGAAACACAUUUUCUGCAUCAUAAGAUGGGGACAUUUUUAUGAUACCAGUACUCUUAGGAAGUGGACUGUUCAGAAAAAUGAUUUGGAUUGAAGAGGGCACACAUAUAGGUGGAAGAGUUGGUUGUGAAACAAGGGGAAGAAUUAACUGGUUUCUCCACUGAAGGAGGGAGGAAAAAAAUAAAAGGAAAGAAUAUGGGUAUAUCCAGCAAGACAGACAAAUGUAUGCUCUCCAAGCACUCUCUCUCUCACCUAUCCCAGUUCUUUCAUGUUACAAAAUUCACAAAAUGGCUGUGUGUACAUGAAUUUUGGUGGAAACAGUGAAGAAACUGAGCUUCAUGCUGACAUUGACACAGAGUAGGACAGCUCUAAGGUAGCCUAUGUGAAUGAGCAAUGGAGAAAGAGGGAAAAACAUAAGGAGUUAACCCCAAAAAAUUGGCCAUGGGUGGUGGCUCAUGCCUGUAAUCCCAGCACUUUGGGAGGCCAAGGAGGGUGAAUCACUUGAGGUCAGGACUUCAAAACCAGCCUGGCUAACAUGGUAAAACUCCUGUCUCUACUAAAAUACAAAGAUUAGCUGGGCAUGGUGAUGGGUGCCUGUAAUCCCAGCUACUAGGGAGGCUGGGGAAGGAGAAUUGCUUGAACCCAAGAAGCGGAAGUUGCAGUGAGCCAAGAUCGCGCCACUGCACUCCAGCUUGGAUGACAGAGUGAGACUCCAUCUCAAACAAACAAACAAACAAACAAAAAACCUCCCCCAAAUUAUGGAGAGGGCUCCAGACUUUCUCAAGAUUGUGCAGUUAGCUGUUGUUUAAAGUUAACUAAAUCCCGAUCUGAUGUUUAUUCUCUUAUUUUUAGCUAUUGUUUAAAGUUAACUAAAUCCCGAUCUGAUGUUUAUUCUCUUAUUUUUAUUUUUAAUUUAAUAAGUGCUUCACGUGACUUUUGAGUUAUAGCUGACUGCCCUAGCUCACAUUUUAGUGCCAGAGUAAGUAUCAAAUGGUAGAUUUAUUUCUCUUUUUUAUAAAAGAAAAUCAAUAACCAGUUUGCAAUGCCUUUGGUAGAAAUUCAAUGACUAACAUAAGGUUUUACUUUAUCAAGAAGCUGGGAUAUUGUCAACAGCUAUCCAAGUAACUGAUUCAAAAUCCAAUUGUGAAAACAUUUACUGGGCACUCUCUGCAUGCAAAGCAGUGAGAAGGUGCUGGGAAGAUUAAGAAAAAUCAGGUGCAGUCUCCCUCCUUAGGAGAAAUGGCACAAAAUAGCAUGGUCAUGGAACCAGAGCAGUGAUUCUGACAUGCAUUUCAGAGACAAACAUGGUGGAGGCCAUGUGACUUAAUCAGCAGGAUGGAACUAAAAUAGGGCUGCCUAGGAUUAUACAAACUAUGCUGUUGCUGCUGGAGAUUCCCAAACUGUGGCCUACCAAUGUCAUGGCAGGUGGGGGAUAAGUGGACGAUGAAUCCCUUCAGUGCACCAUUCAAGGGCUUUCAGCCUGAAAUAAGCUAAUACUAUGAGCAGAAUGCCCAGGAAGGGUUUAUGAAGGGUAUACCAUACUCCCAAGAUCAAAAUCACCUCUUGAGGAAUCCCUCCCAAAGGACUCACAGUCAUCUUCCAAAAGGCUUUUAGAAAAAACUAAAGGAUAUGUUUUUCCAAGAGCCUGAUGUCUUAGUGGUCUGGAAGACAUCCUGGGAAUUGUCUGGAAAGGAGGCAUUGGACCUCUAGCUGUGAUGAGAUAUAGGAAUAAGGAGUGGUGGGCUAAGUGUGCAUCUAGUAUGCAAAAUAGAGAGAACAGUAAGUGUGAUGAGAAUAAGAAGGUAGUUGCCCAAAAGCAAAUUUAAUUCUCUCCUACUCCUACUGGAGAGAAGAACAAGGGAUUUGGAGGAAACACAGCAAUGCAGCAUCCACAGGCACAUAGUAUAUGCUCAAUAAAUAUUUUUUUUCAAAUAAUAUACAAAUAUAGAAAUAAGGUCUACAAACAUCACUUGAGAAGCACAGGAUGUGAUUCACUCUUCAGAGCCAAAUUUUAUUUGUGGUAUCACUUUAAAAGGCAGCAGCAGUAGUGCUACUGAGACCAUUUCCGCUGGGAGAGAAGUUCUGAGGACUCUGAAAACUUAUAGGAAGAGGCAGGCAAGACCAGAGAUAGUGAUAAGUAAAGUGAUUAACUGAGGAGCUGUGUGGGGGGAAAAGGAUGUCUCAACUUAGCCAAGGUUCAGAGAUAACAGAAGCUUUUCACCAAAUGAAAGGUGACUGAGUGACCAACUGUCACUGACUUCAGGAAUAACUUGCAGACAGAACAGGUAGACUCAGACAGCAUUCUCAGGUGAAGACCUCAAGGGAAUUCAGCUAGUUGAGGCAGCCCCAAAACCUGGUGGGAAUCCAGCUCAUUUCUGGGAAACCUGAACAAGAACGGAUUCAUAGAUCUCAAAAUUGUACAAAGAGAAAUUUACCAAUAAACACAGGAAAAAAUAAAAUUUCCUGGAAAUAUCAGCUACCAACAAAUAUAUUUUCAGGUGUGCUUCAGGAUUAAGGUUUAUAAAAGUGUGUUAAGAAAUGAAAAUAUUGUUUGUGUGGGUGGUGGUUGUGUUCCUGGGGCAAAAAAAAGAGAGAGAGAGAGAGAAUUGCAACUCCAACUCUUCUUUUUAUAUAUGAGAAAACUGAAACUUGGAAUGAUAAAGUGACUCACUCAAAGUCUCCACACCUACUUGGUAGCAAGUCUUUAUUCAUAGCUGCAUAUAAUAUAUCACCACCUGACAUAUUAUAUAUUCUUCUAUUUGAAUAUUCUUUCCAUUAAAAUGGGACUUUAUUUGCUCACAAUAAUAUUCCCAGAAGCUAGAACAGUGCCCGGCACUAAGGAAAUACUCAGUAAACAUGUGCUGAAUGAGACAAUGAUUUAAAUCUUUAGACUCAUAUUCCAAUGCCAUUUAGAUUACACCAUCCUGUGAGUUUGUGUCCUUUGCAGGGACAUGGAUGAAGCUGGAAACCAUCAUUCUCAGCAAACUAACACAAGAACAGGAAACCAAACACCACAUAUUCUCACUCAUAAGUGGGAGUUGAACAAUGAGGACACAUGGACACAAGGAAGGGAAUAUCACAACACGGGGCCUGUCAGGGGGUUGGGGGCUAGGAGAAGGACAGCAUUAGGAGAAAUACCUAAUGUAGAUAACGGGUUGAUGG